rnacentral:rRNA from 1 species
UACGGGGGGGGCAAGCGUUGUCCGGAAUUAUUGGGCGUAAAGAGCUCGUAGGCGGUCUGUCACGUCGGCUGUGAAAACCCGAGGCUCAACCUCGGGCCUGCAGUCGAUACGGGCAAACUAGAGUACUGCAGGGGAGACUGGAAUUCCUGGUGUAGCGGUGAAAUGCGCAGAUAUCAGGAGGAACACCGGUGGCGAAGGCGGGUCUCUGGGCAGUAACUGACGCUGAGGAGCGAAAGCGUGGGGAGCGAACAGG